CCUACGGGUGGCAGCAGUAGGGAAUCUUUCACAAUGGGCGAAAGCCUGAUGGAGCAACGUCGCGUGCAGGAUGAAGGCCUUCGGGUUGUAAACUGCUUUUAUAAGCGAGAAAUAUGAUGGUAACUUAUGAAUAAGGAUCGGCUAACUACGUGCCAGCAGCCGCGGUCAUACGUAGGAUCCGAGCAUUAUCCGGAGUGACUGGGUGUAAAGAGUUGCGUAGGUGGCAUAAUAAGUAGCUAGUGAAAUCUGGUGGCUCAACCAUUCAGAGUAUUAGCUAAACUGUUAAGCUCGAGACCGUUAGGGGUAACUGGAAUUUCUAGUGUAGGAGUGAAAUCCGUAGAUAUUAGAAGGAACACCAAUAGCGUAGGCAGGUUGCUGGGACGGUUCUGACACUAAGGCACGAAAGCGUAGGGAGCAAACGGGAUUAGAUACCCGAGUAGUC
rnacentral:rRNA from 1 species